GACGAACGCUGGCGGCGUGCUUAACACAUGCAAGUCGAGCGGAAAGGCCCUGCGCUUGUGGGGUGCUCGAGUGGCGAACGGGUGAGUAACACGUGAGUAACCUGCCCUUGACUUUGGGAUAACUUCAGGAAACUGGGGCUAAUACCGGAUAGGAGCUCCUGCUGCAUGGUGGGGGUUGGAAAGUUUCGGCGGUUGGGGAUGGACUCGCGGCUUAUCAGCUUGUUGGUGGGGUAGUGGCUUACCAAGGCUUUGACGGGUAGCCGGCCUGAGAGGGUGACCGGCCACAUUGGGACUGAGAGACGGACCAGACUCCUACGGGAGGCAGCAGUGGGGAAUAUUGCACAAUGGGCGGAAGCCUGAUGCAGCAACGCCGCGUGCGGGAUGACGGCCUUCGGGUUGUAAACCGCUUUCGCCUGUGACGAAGCGUGAGUGACGGUAAUGGGUAAAGAAGCACCGGCUAACUACGUG
rnacentral:rRNA from 1 species